CCCUUCCAGAUAAGAAAUUGUCACCACAGAUGCAUGCCCUCAGGGUGGGGCUCAGUGUGGCAGAUCAGCACAGUUCAAGGACAUUGCUCUGUGCAAGACCGCACAGAACACAUCCAUGUUCUGGGACUGUGAGUGGUGCACCUAACUCUUACUAAGCACUUACUAUUGUACCUGAGAGGAAGGCAUGUGCUUGCACGGUCAGACAAAAUUUUUGACCGUCUUCCAUACACCACCACCGGGGUGGAAGACUUCCAUUCCUGCCUCUUCCAGGGGAGUGGCGCCUCCACCCAGAGGUGCUGCGUCCAAUCUGGGCCCUCUUUGGCAGAGCAGAGGUGGAUCUCUUGCCUGAGAGACGUUGAACCUCUGCCCCCUAAGGUUCUCCCUGACAGAGAUGACCAGCCCUCUAGGCCAGGAUGCACGGGCUCACCCUUGGUCCCGAGGGUCUGCUGUGUGCUUGUCAACUGCUUCCUCUGAUUUAGCUGACACUUCAGAGAGUUCUUCAGAAGGGUCACAGGAUGUUACUGGUGGCCCCCCUUCUGGUCAGGCCGAAAAUGGCUCUCUCUGCUCCACAGUCUUUGUCGCAGCGUGCUGUAGCACCUCCCAGACAAGAAAGACCUACUGUCUGCCUAUUGGGAGGUCAGAUCUGGCAACCCUCAGUGCCUCCAACUGUGGGUUUGGCCUGAACAGCUGCUGAGCAGCUGCAUAGACCCUGUCAAGCAGACUAUCAUCGCCAAAGUGCCGUCCACCCACAUCCAGCACGACAACAGGUGGAAGCUAUUCUGGCACUGGUGUAUAAGCCGGAGUGAAGUCCAGUACACCGUGCCUACCAUCCUGGAGUUCAUGCAGUCCCUCUUGGAUGACAGCAGGUCUCACUCUAUUCUGAAAGUGUAUGUUGCGGCAAUAUAAUGUUGACAAUGACACAGUGGGAAGUCCCAAUCUGGUAUCCCUCUUCCUGACAGACAAGGGAUGAAACAAGCCGGAAAUAGUGUGCCCAGUACAGGCCAUGAGAGGCUAAAUUGCAGCUACCACGGGCAAUCGGCGGUUAGAACAGCUGUUCCUCUGCUAUGAUGGUCCGAAUUAAGGUUGUGCUUGCUUGGAGAGAGCUCCCACUUGAAUGUGGAUGGCAUUGGCCAUGCAUAUGGGAUGAGUAACCAUCCCCUGCUAUCUGGCAUGAGGUGCCACUCUACUAGGAGUGUUUCCACAUCAUGGGCUGCCCUGAGAGGUGUACCCCUGAAGAACAUAUGUGCCACUGCAUCAUGAGCAUCACUGGGCACAUUGUCUAGAUUCAGUAAGGUCAAUUUUGCCAUUACCCAUCUACUGGGGGUAGUCCUCCUUCCAGGGUCCCCUUAAUCUACUCAAUGAGGUGGAUAGUCAGGAUUCCUCGUGACUCUGCUGGUAGAAGUCAUCCAGUGCUUUAAACACCGCCUCUGGUGGUCAUCAGGGAUGAAGUAGAACAAAAGCUACAAAUGUAACUACAGUCUAUGAAUCCCGAGUGACCGCCAGAGCGCUCUGUCACUCAGAAUCCUUGUGAUCCUGUGAGAAGAUUCUGUAGGAACAGUUCCCCUGAUAACACUAGAAGAUAUAGUCUCUUGGUUUGUCCAGAGGUCACAAGUGGCAUUGUUGAUAUACAUACUUGAACUUUGCAUUGGCGACUGGAAUACUUACUUUAAUAGGUACUUUAAGCACUGCCUAUUGUGGCCAUUUGGGAUUCAUAGAACUGAUUUUACACACUGUAGAGUUUUCCUUUCAGCUUUAAAUCAUCCCAAACUUUGGACGCAACUCUAUUCUUUUUCUCUUCUUCUAUUUUACAAUAACUGUUGUCUACGUCACCUGUACACACAAUCCUCAGUUGCUGUAAGAAAAACUGUAUCAAUGGUUUCAAAUUACUCCAGUUACUUAAGGAAUCAUUUCAGCCCCAAACUGUUCAGAAUUAAUUUGGCACAUAAAUGGCAUUUUAUAUGAUUUUGUAAAUUCCAGUGUUGUCUUCGAUUUUUAAACUUUAGCAAAAUAUAGAAUGUUUCAAAAUAGUAAUGAAUAGGAAACUGAUUGAGUUUUUUUUAGUAGAAAGUAUUUUUAAAUCAAAUGAAAUACAUUUUAUGUGUGUGAUCAUCAAAUGACCAUAUAACAAAAAGGGUAUUAUACAAUUAAAUGUAUUAAAUAACAGAGAUUCCAUGUGAUUAUUCUGUAGCAGUGCUGUCCUGUAACACGGCCAUCAGUCCUACCUUUGGACCAGAGCCAGUAUGUGUGAAGUGCUGCUGAUCAGGUGAUGGUUGUCUGGUAGGAAAACACUGAUUCCUGACAAUAAAUGCCUUUAAUCCCA